CAGAUUGACACCGGAAGGAUUGACAGAUUGAUAACUCUUUCUUGAUUCGAUGGGUUGUGGUGCAUGGCCGUUCUUAGUUGGUGGAGCGAUUUAUCUGGUUAAUUCCAAUAACGAACGAGACUCUAGCCUGCUAAAUAGACGUAACUUAUGGUAUCUCGAAGACUCGGUUUCGGUCGGUGGAUUUUUACUACCAACAUACAGACAAAUCUUCUUAGAGGAACAAGCAGUUUCUAGCCGCACGAGAUUGAACAAUAAGUCUGUGAUGCCUUUAGAUAUUCUG
rnacentral:ncRNA from 1 species